GGAAGAUUAGCCCUGAGCUAACAUCUGUGCCCUUCUUCCUCUAUUUUAUAUGUGGUACCCCUGCCACAGCAUGGCUUGAUUAUGGCUUGAUAAGCAACGUGUAGGUCCCCUGGCUGCUGAACCCCCCGGGUGCUGAAGCUGAGCAUGUGAACUUAACCCCUGCAGCACCAGGUUGGCCCCCGUAAUUUAUUUUGAUGCUCAGAUUGUCCUAAUUUGGUGAGGGGGAGUACUUUCAGGCUGGUGUCUAUAUCCUUUUGCCAAGUCCUCAUCAUUCUUUGAACAUUUUUCUUGUUUUUUGGCACAAGAUGUUCCAGGCUUAUCUUAUACUUUCCUUGGAAUCAGGCAUUUUUACAAGGAAUACUGAUUCUUGGUGUGUGUGUGGAAACCCCUCCCCGACACAGACAUCCUUCUCUCUUGCUUGUGGCUCUGCCUCCCCUCCCCAGGCUGCCCCUGCCUGGAAUACCUCUCUCUCCUGCUUGGGCUCUGACAUCCUGUGCCAGGUUGCCCCUCCACAUGGACACCCUCCUGGCGUGUUCAGGCAGAAGACUUUAAAAACCAAAGUCAGGCCAUGUCACUUCUCUGGCUCAAAACCCAAAAAUGGCUCCAUUUCACUCAGAGUAAAAGCCAGAGUCUACAUCAUCUGCUAGAAGCUUCUACACCAUCAGGAUCUGGUCCCCUUUCCCUUUCCCACCUUCUCUGCUGCUACUCCUUCCUUGCUCACUCUGCUCUGUGGACGCAUCAGGCCCUGUCCAGAUAUCUGAACUGCUCUGGCUAAGAAAGUGAGAGGGAUUUGCAUAGGCAGCUUCCCAGUGAAGGGGCGAGCGCUCCAGGAGCAAGUGCGAGCAGCAGGGAUAAGAUAUGAAGAAGAUCCAGAGGGGAUCCAGGAACAUUGAAGAAUGAAGGUGUCUCAUACGCAUGUGUAAGUUGUUUUUUGGACCUUGCAGCAACACAGCUGUGUUGUUUGGGGGUGCACUUAGCGCUCAACUCAGGCAGAUUGAGAAUACAGUGGGAACAACCCAGCGAGGCAAAUGGUGUCAAUGAGAACAUACGCACUCCCAGGAAACCAUGGGGAGGACACUGGCCUUCUCACAGCAUGUGGAAUGAUGGACAAAGCUGCUGAAACCAGCUGUGAAAGGGAAGGUUGAUCCCAGAAUUCUGGAGACUUUAGGGACUCCUAGGUGCAUGCGAUACAUAAGGGUGCAAGAAUCCACCCAAAGUCCAUCUCCCUGAUCUGGUCCAAAUGAAUCUCUAUGAUAUCCUCAAAGAAAGAGAGCUCAUCCUGCAAAGAAUUUCAUCUGAAACUGCCAGAUGUGCUCUGGAAGGAAGAGAAUCUGUACUGAAGUGGAGAAGUCUUCUCAAAUUGGGGGGAUAGGCAGUGUGCUGGGCAGAGCAUAGAACCACAGGAUCAAAUAUGAUGCACUUUCAUAUAUAUCUUGCAUUUAAAUAUUAUUGUAUAUUAAAACUGAGACACUAUGGAAUAGACUGCAACAUUGGCUCUAAUUUUUAAAUAAAUCUAAAACGGGAGUUUUUCACGUAAAGUAACCCACUGCAGCUUGUACCCUCAGAAACUGGGAGUUGUUGAUUCCCCUCUGCCACUGGAUUACUACAUUAUAAGAGUUAGAAAAGCACUGAAUGAAGGUAAAAACACUGAAGUGUCCUUUCCCCAUCACUGUUGACCUUGGGCGAAUUACCAGACUCAUCAGUUUUCUCACGUAUAAAGUAAGGAGGUUGACCAGAUGAUUUUUAGUUGGGCUGCUUUUGGCUUUUUGGAAGUCUCCUCAGGUUUCGUUUCUCUCAACAUCUCUAUUUCUGUAGGUCUGUUCUAUUCUCCUGUCUCUACCAUUUGCCUUCCUCUGCAUCCUCUGAGUUCCCAUUUUUACGUAACUUUGACCUUUUACCUGGUCCACUAUGAAUAUUGCUCCACUUUUCUCUACUUUCUGACAGUUCUUAAUUUUUAGUUUCUGCCUCUGCUGUCAAUUGCUUAGUCUGUCAGUUUCCAUUCAGUUCCUUCUACCUGAAAGGAAUCUGAUUGGCCCAGCUCAUCUUUUUGAAACAGUUCAGCUAGUCAUAGAUGGUUGGCCAGACAAUAGAUGAGGUAGCCUCAUCCUGAUGUAAUCAUUAUAGUCAGCGAGUGAUGAUGUUCUAUGUUAGGAAACGUGGCUACUCGUCCUUAGCAGGACUGUAGGGAAGUUAUAUUCCCUUAGAAGUGAAUGUAAUUGGCAGGAAUCAUUAAAAAAGUCAGAUUUAACCCCAAGCUUCUUCUGACUCAUCAAUUGUAUGAUAAGUAAGAUACUGUGUCUCACCCAGGUUCACUACUAUGAUCACUCUGACACUUAUGACUUUAAUUCCUGUAUGUUAAUGGGAUUUAUAAUACUUACCAAUGAAAAGCAAUUCUAGAAAAUGAACAGGACAUUACUAAAGGUUUUUAAGGUUGUUGAAUAUUUUAGCCUUGGUAAAGAUACAAUUGAUUCAAUUCAACAGACAUUUAUUGAAUGCCAGUUCUGGACCAGGCACGUUCUAUACUUACGGGGAUACAGCAGGGAACAAAAUGAAGGAAAUUUCUGCCCACGUAGAGCUCACAUUCUAGAAAAAUCUAAAUAAGUUUUUGUUUGCUUGUUUCCUCUUUUUAAAAAAUAUUUUAAGCAUAGAGAAUUUAUAUGACAAAAACUCACUUAUCCCCUAUCCUGUUAGUUGGAUCUCAACAUUUUGCCACACUUAACUUCAUUUAAAAAAACAUCGUUUUAAGAAAAACACUGUUUACAGAGUCAAAACUCUCCAUGGAGCCUCUAGUCCUAUUCCCUUUUCAUCUCCCCUUCCCAAGGAGCUAUGGACUGAAUUAUAUCCCACCAAUAGUCAUAUGUUGAAACACUGACUCCCAAUGUGACUGUAUUUGGAAAUAGGGCCUAUAAGGAGGUAAUAAGGCUAAAUGAGGUCAUUAGGGUGGGGGCCUGAUCCAAUGGGGCUGAUAUCUUAAAAAAAGAGGAAGAGACAUCAGAGCUCUUUCUCUGCCAUGUGAGGAUGCUGAGGAGGUGACUGUCUGCAAGCCGGGAAGAGGAACUUCACCAGCCAGAACCUCAGCCUUGGACUCCCAGCUCCCAGAGCUGCGAGAAGAAAAAUUUGUGUUGUUUAAGCCACCCAGUUUAUGGCAUUUUGUUAUAGCAACCCAAGCAGACUACGACACGGAGGUGAGCACUGUUCUGAAUUUGGUGUUUAUCAACCCAAAGCAGGAUUUAUACUUUUACUACAUUUAUGUGGAUCCGUGAACAAGAACUAGGUAAGUUUUUCUUUUUUGCAGUUUUAAAAACGUUACAUAGAUAGUAUCAUGGUCUACAGACAUUGCAUAUUCUAAAGAAGUAGUCUAUUUUCAUUAUAGCUGCUUUGAAAAUUUGAUGAAAAUUAUGGCCAAUUUCCCUACAGAAAAAUGUGCAAUAUUUUGCAUAAAAUUUCAGACAGUCCAUAAACUGUGAAGCUCAAUCAUGAACCCAGAUUAAGAACUUUUGCUCUAGUUAUAAUUACUCUUAAGAAUAUUCACCCCACAAUAUUGUAAGGUCCUAAACAUGUAGAAAUAGAGUAAAUCAUGACUACUAUUCUGUGCUCACUAAGACUGGAACAUGGACUCACAUUUUAGAAAGAUAUUUAAUAAUAAAAAUUGGGAAUAAAAAUGACUUUUCUUUUGAGUCACCAGAAAAUUAAAUUAUCUACAUAUUCCAUUUUCCAAGUUUUCUAAAUAAUUGAGGUCCAGCGGCAGAGAAUUACACGGUAGUGAUAUUGACUUGGUAAGGUGUUAAUGAAAAAUAAGCUUCAUUUGACCUGACAGGAAGGGUUUUAGUUAUUAUAAAAGAAUAGAAGUAAAAAAAUAAUGUUCCUAUAAUUUAAUACCUUGAUUACUACAGUUAAAUAUCAAGUCCCAACUUGAUAUUUACAAGUUCCCUCAUAAAAUGCGAGGACACUCAUCUACCUCCCUAGGAAACUGGAAAGCAAAGGAUUUUUUAAGAACCCGGUGUGAAGCUUCUUGGAAAAGAUGCCCAACAUAAGGAUGUAAUCGUUUUCUGGCAUGUUGGUGUGUGCCUCUGUACUGCACUGUGCCUUCCUCUGAUAGUAUCAGAAUACUGUGAAAGACAUUCAAGGCCAAAUGAACAUUUACAGAUGAAUUACCACCUGCCAUGAACACAGAAAGAAAUAUUGAUGUUAAAUAGAGCCAUUUGAGAACUCAAGUAGGGGAAAAGAGUGUGGAAUGAAUUGAGAUCUGAUGAGCCUAGCCAAGUUCCUGACGGGCAAGGUUAAAUUGUCCCGCAGAAAAUAGUGCAGGUCUAGAAGGCAGCAGGAUAUUAUCUGGGAAUCACAUUCUUGUUCCUGUUGAAAUCCAGUGUCGCCUAUCUUUAUCAAGGCCUGCUGGAAGCUAUGAAGGAGACACAUUCAGAGAUUAGCUCUGGAGCAAAUCUUUCCCAGGCAGAAAGGAAAAGGAAAAGGCUUAACUAUCGUAAGAUGAGAAAUAGAAGAUAGCAUGUAUAAAGUCAAAGCGAGACAGAAGUCUGUGGACAGGAACAAUGUGUAGGAAAAAAGAUCAUUUUUAGGCCUCUUGGCCCGUAAAGAGAAAUGAAGUGACAGAGAGAUAGAAGGGGAGAGGCUGAGGAAACUGAGUUGCUCAUACCUACAGGGAGAUGGGCAUUCUGAACAUUAUUCUCCUAGGUGACUGCUGGGUGGACAGAGCAGCACUGAGGACCAGCGUGCACCUUUGAGUCUGUACGUAUAUAUGGAGGGAGAGAGAGAGAGAUUGCUUGAUUGAUCUCUGGAGGACAUAGGAGAAGAGGCAGUAUUAAUAAGAUUUAGGAGGAAGGAGAGAAAGAAUGAUGACUAGGAUAGCCACACCUUGACUGACUCCCCAUAUGGCCUAUCUUCUCCUGAGAGUGUGGUAGGUUGAAAAAUGGACCCUCAAAAGAUAUGCACUUCCUAAUCCUGGGAACCUGUGAAUGCUACCUUAUAUGACCAAAAGCAAAGGUCUUUGUAGGUAUGAUUAAGUGUCUUGAGAUGAGGAAAUUAUCCUGGAUUAUCCUGGAUUUUCUCUAAGUGAAAACAUGUGUAUCCUUAUAAGAGGGAGGCAGAGGGAGAUUUGUUACACAUGCAGAAGAGAAAGAGGCAAUGUGACCACAGAGGCAGAGAUAGGAAUGAUGCGGACAUAAGCCAAGGAAUGCUGGCAGCCACAGAUGCUGGAAGAGGCCAGGAAUGGAUUUUCCCUUACAACCUGGAGUCAGCAGGGCCCUUCUGACCCCCUGAGUUCAACCCAUUGAAACUGAUUUCAGACUUCUGGACUCCAGAACUGUGAGAAAAUAAAUUUCUGUUGUUUAAAGUCUCCCAGUUUGUGUUAGUUUGUUACAGUGGCCAUAGGAAAUUAACGUAGAGACCAAAUAGAAAAUUAGCAGCAGAGAAUCACACAACAGGGAUGCCAAAGAUUAUAUAGAAGAGGACUCUUUGAGUGAGAGUUACAGAGUUCAGAAUCCCAGUGGGCUUUACUCACUUUAGACUUUUUGACAUCUGAGUUAUGUAACCAAAUGAGUUUCCCAAAGUAAGAAGGUAUAUGAGAAAAGAAUUAAGCAUUUAUCCUGCCUUUUCAGUAGAAUUGUAUUCCACAAUAGCCGAGUAAUCCCAUUGACGAGGGAAGGCUCUUAUUUUUUUAAAUUUUUCCUUUUUCUCCCCAAAACCCCCCGGUACAUAGUUGUGCAUUUUUAGUUGUGGGUCGUUCUAGUUGUGGCAUGUGGGAUGCUGCCUCAGCGUGGCCUGAUGAGCGGUGCCAUGUCCGUGCCCAGGAUUCGAACUGGUGAAACCCUGGGCCACCGAAGCUGAGCAUGUGAACUUAAUCACUCGCCAUGGGGCCGGUCCCGGAAAGCUCUUUUUUAAUACAGGGAGAAGGAAUUAUAGAACUAGGAAAUCAUCAAUUUUCAACCACUUAUGAAAAAAUUGAGGCAAGGAUCAGGCAAAGAUCAUCGGUGGUUGCUAAAGCAUUAGAUCAGUGGUUCUCAAGGUCAGCUCCUCACUGGAAUCACUGAGGGGCUUUGAAAACGAUUGAUGCCUAUAGCCAACCACUAGGGAUUCUGAUGGAACUGUUCUGGAGUAGGUUCCGGGCAUCAAGAUAUUCAGAAGCUCCCAGGCGAUUUCUAAUGAGCAGCCUAGGUUACAAAUGACUGCUGCCAAAAUGUCACUCUACAGAUUUAAAAAAAUAAUUAAUUAAUUACUUUUUUUAAUCACACAAGGAGAAAUGUACCUCACAAUGGAGAGAUCUGACUGUCACUACCUCAACCCAGUGAGCAAAUUUAGCGUCACUGUGCUUAGAACUACCAGACAUUAUGUACCUUUCGAUGGGAUGUGAUGCAGUACAUGAUCUUAUCAUGAUGAAUAAAUAGACAAGGUCCUUAGCUAUGUAAGAGUCCACAGAAAAUUAGAAAUUAUAACUGCACCAAGUGCUACAAAGGAGAGGUACACGCUGACAGAAGAGGGUUUAGGGGGGACAGAUCUAGGAUGAGGAGUCAGGACCAUAGCGUCCUGGGUGACACAUGCAAUAGUGAAAUUCACACCAUUCCUCCAUUCGCUGCUCCUAGCUGUCUCUCUCAAACCUCAUUUCUGCCACAUCAUCUGUUUGGUUCAAGCUGCGUUCCGGGGGGAGUGGGAAGCUCAUUUUAUAGACCUCAUGUGAGUGCCCCGCAGCCUCCUCCUCCUCCUUCACUGCUUAUUGCUGAAGUAACAGCCCAAAAGAAGAGCAGCCUGCUCCUGCCUAAGUGCCCACGGCCCCCUGGGUGGCACUGUGACCAGAAUGCCUUCCUUUUCCACUCGGAUACUCAUGAGCCAGCUCUUGAAUCAAUAUUGGGGCAGUUUCCUCCCUUGGGAAGUGUGGCAGGCUGGGAGGACUGCUAGCUUUGGCAUCAAGCAGUUCUGUGUUUGAAUUCUUUCUCUGCCAAUUAGCAGCUCUGUGACCUUAAGCAUUGUAUAACCUUUGAACCUUGAUCUUUCUGAUCUAUAAAAAGGGAAUAAUAAUAAUACCUAUUUACAGUGUACAUAUGAGGACAAAAUAAGAUAAUGAGUGAAAGUGCUUAGGAAGAGAGCUGGUGCAUAGUAGGUGCUCAAAGAAUGGAGUCCUUCUGCUUUAGACUCUAAUCACCUUCUUGCCAAAUUGGUGGAAAGAAUGACUUGCCAAUGUGGUAGCCUGUCUUGUGCUCUCAGUAUGUAGAGAAAUGCUAGUGGUAUGUGAUGAGGAUUUUUAGGCUGCUUAAUUUUAAAAUGGCUUAUGAUGAGGAUUUUUAGGCUGGUUAGUUUUAAAACUACAGAUGAGAUUCAGGCUCCAAGGAGUGGGAUUUGUUUGCCCCUUUGCUGGGAAACAUUUACAUUUCUAAGGGAAACCUCUAUCUGUGAAGAUGCCUCCCUCUCCGUGCCAGGAAGAAGGGGGAAUGGUCUUAUCUCUAGAAGCUCUUAAUGUGGAAGGCAAGAACUUAAGUUGGUUGCUGUCUGGCAAUCUCAUGUAACUGAUUUAGGGUGGUGGCUUCUGACCUUUACUUGAUCCGAUUUGAUUCUUGUCUAAAAGUCAUGGGAUCACCCAACGACCAGACCCCACCUGCACUGAUACCAUUUUAACUUUUUUUCAUGUUCUCUCCUUUGUCUUCGUAAAGAGAUGACUCACAUACCUAUGCCUUAAAUUUAGCCCUAACCCUCAACUCGGGGCAGCAGCAGGAGCUCUGCCUGCCCAUGGGUCCUGUCCCCAUGCCAGCGGGGGCAGCAGCAGGAGCUCUGACUGCCCGUGGGUCCUGUCCCCAUGCCAGCGGGGGCAGCAGCAGCGGCUCUGCCUGCCCAUGGGCUCCGUCCCCAUGCCAACGGGGGCAGCAGAAGUGGCGGCAGCAGAAGCUCUGACUGCCCAUGGGUCCUGUCCCCAUGCUCUUCCACACUAUUCUCUAAAUAAAAGAGCGCUACUGCCAGAUCUUAAGAGUCUAAGAAAUCUUUCUUUUGACUCCUCGGCUCACCGACCCCGCAUCAGUAUGCACUUUGAUUUCAUUCCUUCUCUAUGAGGGCUUCUCCAGAAUCCAAAAUCCAAAUUGCCUGCUUGAGAAGACAGCGUCAGCGUCCAUGCAGAGGAUGCGUCUCGCAAUCUCUACCUCGUCCCUGAGUUCCGGCCCCAUGCCAACCUUGUGAAUCCUCAUUCAGAUUGAAUUUCUCCCUCACCCAUCUAGGGCCACAUUCCACAUCAGCUUCCUUCACUGAACAAUCAUUUACUGAGAACUUGCUAGCAUCAUUCUAAGCACUGGAGAAACAGUGCAGUGGACAGAUCAUCUGCAUUCAGAGAGCUUACACGCAGUGGAGGUGACAGAUAACUCAAAAGCAAGUAAAUACAUAGUAUAAUUGCAGAUACAUCCUGUGAAGAAAAUAUAACACAGCAAUUGGAUAGAGAGCGAGGAAGGGUAGGGAGAGUUUUUUUAGCUAGAGCAGUCAGGAAACUUUUUUGUCCAGGAGACAUUUCGAUUGAACAGACUGAACAGAGAAGGAAGUCCCACAAAGAUUAGGGGAAAGAGCUUUCCAGAUGGAGGCAACAGCUGGUGCAAAGGCCGAGGCUAGACUUAGUUUAGGAGGUUUAAAGGAUUGAAAGACCAGUGUGAAUGGUGAGAGAUGAGGUCAGAGAAGGAGGCGGGGUCAGAUCAUUCAGGGCCGUGGUAAGGAGCUGGAUUUUAUUCCACUGGAAUAGAAAGCCAUUUUGAGGACUUUUAGCCAGAGAGCAAAUGCCCUAAUUUUCACCUUAGAAAGAUCACUUUGUGAUCACUCUGUGUGACAAAUGGUCUGUGUGUGGAUAAUGGCGGAGGCAGGCUGACCUGGGGGAGGUUAUCAUGCAGUCUAGAAGAGAGGAUGGCAGCUUGGAUUAGGGUUACAGCAACAGUGAUGGUAGGGACUGGUAGGAUGUGUGAUAUGCUUUUGAACUGAACAGCAGAACUUAACUAAUUGGAUAUGGCCUAAGGGAAGGAGAAGAAUCAAGAACGACCCCCAGAUUCUUGGUCUAAUUAACUGGUGACUGGUGGUCCCAUUUAAUUAGAUAGGAAAGAGUUUGAGGGAGAGUGGAUCUUGGAAAAGUAAAAGAGAAUUCUGUUUUGGUCAUGUUAACUUGGAAAAGUUUCUUAGACAACUAAUUGUAAAUAUCAAGUAAAUAACACAAGUCUUGAAUAGGGAGAUCCUGGCUUGAGUCAUUGAGAAUCAUUAGCUUAUUAGAUUAGAUAGUAUUAAAGCCGUGGAGAAGAAUAUAAAUGGAGAAGAAAAAAGGUCCAAGGACCAAGACCUGGGGCAUCCCAACAUGUCAUGUGAUGUCAGAAUUGUGGCCUAGAAUCCUCCUGACCUUCUGGGCUCUCUAUCUAAUGCUCCGCCCUAGGCCCAGCUCAAAGCCUGAGGCUUUCCCUGUUUUUCCUAGUUGACCCUGAUUUUGCCUUUUUCAACCCCAGCUGGUCUUACAAUCUAUUUCCCUGAUGUAGUCACACGUGGUCUUGCUUGGUUACUUUAUCUCUUUGGUUUGCAUUAAUCUCCUUGCCCCACCUAAAUUGCUGCCUCUUGGAGGGCAGUGAACACAUUUAAUAAAUCCAUGUAUCUUCAAAAUUUAACAGAGAACUAUCAAGUGCUCAGAAAUCCAUGUUGACUGAUAGGAUAAGGCUGCUUGGGAAAGGCCCAGGAGGUCAUGCUGGUGCUGCUGUGUUUGUGACCCCCAUGUCUCCUGGCACACUCCCUCCAGGUGGUGCCACCAGGCAGGGAUAAACCAUUGUCUCCACUGUGGGAGAUUAAAUAAGCACCAGAUAAUCCCUCGGCGAGGCAGGCAGGCAAAGCAAAGCACAAAGAAGUGAAAUUGCUUUCUUGAUAAAGAAACAAACAGAAACAAAACAACACAACAUAAACAAAACCCAAACUUAAGUGGAAGGGAAACGGCCUUCAGCACCCACUCUGGGAGCCUGACCACAAGAUCUGUUUGUUGAAUGAGGUAAGCCAAUUUGAACACCAGUUAGUCCCUAUUACAUUUCUAGAACACUGUCAUUACUGAAAAUGUUGUGGCUGAGUGUUUUCUCUGUGCUUCUCUUUCCUCCUUGAAUGUGACAAUUGCCUGCAGCUUACAGAGCUGUUAGAUCGUUAGCUGUGGCCAGAAUGCCGACUCCUCAUGGCCUGCUCAAAGCCUGUGCAGCGUCUGACCAGCAGCACAAUGGACAAAGACGCUCACAGAUAAUGGAGAACUAUGAGGGAGGGAGGAAAAUGGAAGGGAAGCUGUGCAUUGAAGCCGGGGAACACAAAAACUAUCACAGCAGAUGUAAGUGAGGAAGAACAUGAAAAUGCUGAUGAAUGGAAGGGAGUUGAAACUAUAGAAACAAAGAAAAGAUAAGAUUAUUGGAAAAGGAACAGAAAAGCACAACAUGAAACAUGGAUCAGAGAAGAGAGAAUGAAUGUAAAAGUAACUAGAAAAAACAGUUGAUGUGUGGAUUAGUGUGAAAAUUAUACACAAAAAUGGAAAAAAAUAACUCUUUUUAGGGUAAACUUUGUGAUACUUUAGGGCCUUUGGAAUACUUGACCAGGAAUGAUGAAUAACAGUGACUUUAAUGGAAUUAGAUAAUGCAUUAUUAAUUAACUUUAGUGGUAUAGUACAUGCCUGAAUUUAUUUGGAAAAUCAGAAAAAUUAAACAAUACAUAAUUAAUAUAAUUCAUGAAAGUCACAAGGAAUGAAUUGUUUUUAGUUACUAUAAUUAAUACAUGCUUACUGACAUGUAUACCCUUAGAGCAAUCAGUGAGUUUUCAUUGAUAUUUCUUCUAGUAAUGAGACUGAACUCUGUAUCACAUGAUAUACAAAAACUAAUGUGAAUAACAAUGAAGAAAGGAAAGAAAUGAUUCAUUUCUGAAGCCUUCUGUAUUGCAGGAAGACAAUUUUUUUUUAUACUUACCAUAGUCACAUUCACAAAAUUGUAGGGUAUAAAGUUGGAAAGCAGCCUAUGAACAUAGUUUGUCCAUUCCCUCUGGCUCUGAAUGCAAUCCUAAGGCCUAAAAUAGUUGGGAAGAUUUGACCACGGUCAAAAUAGAUUUAUAAAAACUAAAAUGCUUUGCUACUAUUACCAAUAGCUCAGCCAAUUUUUAGUGACAGAUGAACAGCUAUGUAUCCAUUCUGCCUAGAGUUAUCAAUCCAGAAGGCACCAGAGUCCCAUGGAUCAUCCAUCCAUGGUCCACCCACGGGCCAUCUGGGCUGGUGGGAAUGGCCAGUCCUUUUGAUAUUUCCUGAGUGAAUCACAUCAAGAAGGAUGGGGAGAAGAUAGGGUCAUUGGCCACAAACCAAUUAGUUGCUUUGUUUCACUCAAGUAUUACUUUCGGUCCUUGCUGGCACAAGUGAAAUUAAGAAAGGUGUCAUAGAAAAUAUUAGAUUUGAAAUAAUCUGAUUAAAAAAUGGGCUAAAGACUUGAAUAGACAUUUCUCCAAAGAAGACAUACAAAUGACCACAGGUAUAUGAAAAAUGUUCAAGGUCACUAAUUGUCAGGGAAAUUCAAGUCAAAACCACAAUGAGAUAUCACCUCAUGUCUGUCUGGACAGCUAUUAACAAAAAACAAAAGAUAACAAGUGUUGGCAAGGUUGUGGAGAAAUUAGAAGUUUUGCACACUAUUGAUAGGAAUGCAAAAUGGUGCAGCCACUAUGGAAAACAGUAUGGAAGUUCCUCAAAAAAUUAUAAAUAGAACUACCAUAUGAUCCAGCAAUCCCACUUACGGGUAUUUAUCCAAAAGAAUUAAAAUCAGGAUCUCGAAGAGAUAUUAGCCCUCCUGUGUUCAUUACAGCACUAUUCACAAUGGCCAAGAUGUGAAAACAGCCUAAACGUCCAUCAACAAAUGAAUAGAUAAAGAAAAUGUGGUACGUAUCAUGGAAUAAGGCUGUGGAAUACUAUUCAGUCUUAAAAAAGAAGGAAAUUCCAAAAAAAAAAAGGAAAAUCUUGAGGAGAUUAUGCUAAGUGAAAUAAGCCAGUCAUAGAAACACAAAUACUACAUGAUCCCAAUUAUAUGAGGUACCUAAAGUAGUCAAAGUCGUAGAAUCAAAGAGUGGAAUGACAGUUGCCAGAGACUGAGGGGAGGGGGGAAAGGGGAGUUGUUAAUAAUUGGGCAUGAAGUUUCAGUUAAGCAAGAUGGGUAAGUUCUAGAGAUCUGCUGUACAGCAUUGUACCUGUAGUCAACAAUACCGUAUUGAACAGUUACAAAUUUGUUAGGAGGGUAGAUCUCAUGCUAAGUGUUCUUAUCACAGCAAAAUAUCAUAACAAAACAAAGCAAAAGGCCAGGAUCAGUGGAUUGCUACAAACUCUUUAAUUUAUGCUACUUUUUUAAAAAAUCAAGAGGUCCAAAUAUAUCAGAAAUAAAGAAAAAAAUCUAUUUAGAGACUUCAAAAAAGAAUUAGAUCUGAGAUUUAGGAUGGUUGGCUACAAACUAUCUGCCCAUCCUCUGACGCCAACAAGCUAAGUGGCUUAUUCAGUGGCCACUUUUAGACCCCGUGGUACACUGAUCUAUUCUUUGGUUUUAAGGCCCCUGGGAACUCUUUUUCAGAGCUCAUAUCAGGUCCAGUGAAGUCAACCUAAAAUGUGGAGAAAAUUGGUCAUGGUUUUGGAUUUGUUUAGGAAGCCCCAAAAGUACCUGGGAGGGGAAGUUGGUAACAGGUCUCAUGAGUGACUCAUAAUCUCUGAAACCAACUCCCUCCCUCUGUAGUUCUGGGCCAGGUUUCAGCUGAGAACAAUGAAAGACCCCAGAGGGGGACUGCAGCAAAUGUGGGGUUCCAGGCACUCAACAAUGUUGCCCAUUGCCAUGGCCAUUUGCUGGGGAAAUGACUUUGGUAGGAAAGGUUACAUUUUUCCCUUCUCAGAAUUUGGGGAACAGAGCAUCCAUGAUAGAGAAAAUAAUAUGAAUAAAUGCAAGACUCCAACAGAAGGCCUGUGUUGCAUCCCUCCACCUUUUGGUCAGAGACAAGCACACUACCCUACAAAGAGGUUAAGGGACUUGCUCAAGUUUGCUGCCAAUCAGAGAUGAAGCAUUGCUUUCUUCCUUCCACAAAACUGCAUUCUUUGUGUACAACCAGAAAUAUUUCAUGCCCUCACAGGACAAAAAAGAUCAAUAAGAUAAUGCCCCUAAACCCCAACCCUUGACCCUUGGCAGGUGGCCACUCUAUAUUGUACUUUACUUACAGCUUAUCUUUUCAGACAUGGCCUCUGCUCCUGUUCCCAGAGCAGGAGGCAGUGAAUGGGAAGCUCCCUGUAGAGAAUGACCCGUGAGGCUUUUCAUCAGAGCACAGGGAAGCUGUGUUUGAAAUGACUCCACACUUGUCUUAACAGGCACGACCCUUAAUCCCAGGACACAUUUUUCACUGUCGUGUCUGCCUUGUAGCCUGAAUCAAGACAGUGAUUCAUUUGAGUUUUUCACAUUCUCUCUUUCAUUAUUAGAAGAACCCUUGGGUCAUUUAUAGUUGGGACCUUGGCCCCACUUAUCCUUUAUUUAUAAAAAAGCAUGAACACUGUUCCUGUUCACAGGGAGGCCUACUUUACUUUCACUCCAUUUUCUUCUGUUCACAAGGUCAGUAUUUUUGUCUUCUUUCCUCACAUAGACUAUUUUUACAUAUGUGAUGAGAAGGAAGCUCAAAGAAGACCUUUAAGGGCUCUGUCACUCUAUGGCUUGUUAAAUCCCAUGUAGCCUUGUCCUUUGCCUACCCACUUCUCAUGUGGCCUAAAGUGUUUUUCUCUGAUGAGUACAAUUACAGAGAGUGUAUUUUGGCUCAGCAUAAAGACAAGUGAACAGCAGUUAUACAUGCCUGAAAAAGAAAUGGGCUGUCUCCAGAAGUAGUGAUCUUGGCCUUUGAGGUAUGUAGUCUAUGCAUUGGCCAAUGGCCACGUAUCAGAGAUAACGUUGGAGAGGAUUUGUGCACCAGAUUAGGUGUGGCUCAAUAAGAGCAAACAUUUGAGUAUUUCUUAUGCUAGGCAUAAGGAAAGUAAAGAUAAGUGAGGCAGCCUUGCAGGGUUAGAUUAGAUGAUCCUUCAGGUUCCUUUCAACUUUAUACUAUAUCUGGAUGCAUAUACUGACACUUCUAAGAAAAGUCUUAGUUACAGCUGGUUUCUUAGAGUUAUUGACCUGGAAUGAUCUCUAGAGAUCAUUUUUGUUGAGCCUAUUUUUUCUAAUAGAAGAAGAAAAUUUGGCUCCAAACGUGAAGUAUUAUUUCCCAAGAUCACACAGCUAGUCAAGUUGUUUAUCUAAAACGAUAGACAAACUCCACGGAUUACAGAGAAGGCAGAACACUUAUGGCAUGACAGUGUUCCAAAUUUCCCUUCUGACUGGGGUUGGAAAUUCCUACUUCUCUAGCUGCUAUCAUAGCUGCAGUUUGGGAAAGGGCCUAAUUUUGCCCUCCUGUUUAACACCCUGAUUCAUAAGGGAAGAAAGUGGUGGUGGUGUCGGUUUCUGUUAAGACCUCAAAAUCAUCACUCAAAAGGAAGUGUAGCAACAAGAAGGAAGAUGGUUGUCCCCCUUAUCUGAGGUUUCACUCUCCUUGGUUUCAGUUACUUGUGAUCAACCAGGUCUGAAAAUAAUGCUUUGUCACAAUAUCUACAUCAUUCACCUCGCUUCAUCUCAUGACAUAUGCAUCGUAUGAUCUCACGUCAUCACAAGAAGAAGGAGAAGAAAGUCAGCAAGACAUUCAAGAUGAAUAAAAAAGGAAAAAUGAUGAGACGAGAACGGGCCUGGUAAGGAAGGAAAACAAGCAAGGUUAUUGACUUAGUGAGAACAAAAUGAGACAAAUUGAACAAGUGAGAAUUGACUUAGAAUUGUAUCUAAUAAGUUUUCAUAUAUAAUAUUCCAUUAUAAUUAAUAUCCAAAUACUCUGCAAUUGUAGUUUUUAUUUUCUCUUUGACCCAAGAGUUACUUAAACAAGUGUUCUUUCUUUUUCCCUCAUACUGUCCUUCUCUCUCUCCCUCCCUGACUCCCUCUCUCCCUCCUUUCCUUCCUUCUUUUAAAAAUUUCCAAUUAAUUGAAGAUUCUUUUUGUUUUUUUUAAUGAUUAUUUCUAAUUUUUUUUGCAUUGUUGUCAGAUGUGGUCUGUAUCGUUUCAACAGUUUGAAAUUAUUGAGACCUGUGUUGCUACCUAAUAUAUGAUUAGAUUUUACAAAUAUUCCAUGGCAGCUUGAAAAGGAGGUAUACCCUGUAAAUCUGAUAUUAAAUUUAUAAAGAUAUUAAAAUGAUUUUAUUCUUUAUUAUUUUUAUCUACCUAAUCUUUUAGGAAUGCAAU
ensembl:lncRNA